CCUGGCUCAGGAUGAACGCUGGCGGCGUGCUUAACACAUGCAAGUCGAACGAAGCUUGAGUCUGAAAUUUUUCGGAAGGACAGAUGAUAUGACUGAGUGGCGGACGGGUGAGUAACGCGUGGGCAACCUGCCUUAUACAGGGGGAUAACAGUUAGAAAUGACUGCUAAUACCGCAUAAGCGCACGGGACCGCAUGGGUUUUUGUGUGAAAAGCCGAGACGGUAUGAGAUGGACCCGCGUCUGAUUAGCUGGUUGUGGGGUAACGGCCCACCAAGGCGACGAUCAGUAGCCGACCUGAGAGGGUGACCGGCCACAUUGGGGACUGAGACACGGCCCCAAACUCCUACGGGAGGCAGCAGUGGGGGAUAUUGCACAAUGGGGGAAACCCUGAUGCAGCGACGCCGCGUGAGUGAAGAAGUAUUUCGGUAUGUAAAGCUCUAUCAGCAGGGAAGAGAAUGACGGUACCUGAGUAAGAAGCCCCGGCUAACUACGUGCCAGCAGCCGCGGUAA
rnacentral:rRNA from 1 species